GAGAAAGUGCCUGUAGACAGGCAUUUUCUUAAUGCUGCUUAGUGCUUAUCAAAGUAUGCAAAAAAUAAAACAGCCACAGUAAGAAUCGAGUCGUGUGGUUUGUAGCCUAUUAGGCUAUUUAUAAAAGCAAAACCACAAAUUUGGAAGCCAAAUAAAAAUGGAAAUGUCGUAAUUCCCAUAAGCAGACAGUACUUGAAAGCCGCAUAGGCUAAGCCGGUGUGUGUGUGUGUGUGUGUGUGUGUGUGCUCGAGGUCUGUUUGUGAGGCAGAGAGUUGCGUGCGAAGAGCUCGAGAUGUCAUUCAGAGGAAUCCGCCACCUGAAACGCGAGGAAGUGAAGGCGACUCAAUUGGGUAUAAAGCAUCAGCCAACAUCUGCCCCGAGCAGUCUAAAGCUGAUGAAAACAUCAGCUCGGAGCUCGCACAGGACCUCUCCAAUUUAUUUUAUUUCCCUUGGAUUUACCAUUUGGCAUUACCGAGUCGGUGCACCCAGGGAGACGCAUCUCUUUUUUUUCUGCUCUUAAAGUGAAUGUGAACAACCAACACUAUACUGGAAUUAACUGAUAUCCACCGAGAUUUUGGCGCACCUGUUACCUCCACGGGGCGCAAGAUCAUGAUCCCUCCGGGAGACUGCAUGUAUGCGGGCAGAAAGAGGAGGAAGCCCGUCCAAAAACAGAAGCCGUCUUCUACCAAUGAGAAAACUAACCCGUCCAAGCGGCACAGAGACAGGCUGAAUGCUGAGCUGGACCGGCUGGCCAGCCUGCUGCCAUUCCCCCCGGAUGUCAUCUCCAAGCUGGACAAGCUGUCCGUGCUGCGCCUUGCAGUUUCCUACCUCCGCGUCAAGAGUUUCUUCCAAGGUAAAGGAGGUCGAAAGAGGAGCUGGGGUGUUUGGUUUAUUUGUGUAUGUGUUUUGGUCAAUGAGAGCACAGGGAGUUACAGAGUUGAUAUGGAUUAGACCAGUAUCUGGGGUUGAUAAUGGGAUAUCUGCUGCUGUGAAUUGGCGUAUAGGUCAAUUUUGUCCACCACUGAUACAUAUGUAUUAUAAAACUGAUCCACUAAUAUGCUGGUAGACUAUGGAAAGCCUGUAACAACUGUUUAAACUGAUUCUAAGAUAAUAUGCUACACGAGUAUGCAUAUUAUUAAUAGUGGUAAUAAUGUAUUUUUAGUAGCAAUAGCCCCAUAAGUUUAAGUUUAAAUAGAAAAGAUAUAUUUUGGAAAUUGUCACUUUAAAGAUAUUCCAUGUAACUUUUAGAAGCUGAUAAACUCUUGUGCUGGUGAAAGACAGCUGAGUGGCUGAUACAGAAAGGGAUUAUUCACAGUAUAUUAACCUGCUUCUAUCUGCACUCUUUCUAUCAUUUGCCAGUAGUGCAUCAGGGGGACACCCUUAAUGUAUAGUCAUCUCAUAGAGUGUUGGAAUAACCCAUGAACGUUUUCUAUAGGCCUCACAAGUAAGAAUCCCCUAGAGGUUUGAUGACAUGAACUGAGAUAAGAGAUACUACCUGAGACUGCUCAGUGCAAAGAAACAGCACAGCGUUGCAUUAUAGGAGGUGUACGCUUCUGUGUUAUCUGGAUAGAUUGUCUUUUAGGAAACACUUGUG